CGGGGCGUAGUUCAGCCUGGUAGAAUGCUUGCAUGGGGUGCAAGAGGUCGAAGGUUCAAAUCCUUUCGCCCCGACCA
rnacentral:tRNA from 1 species